rnacentral:rRNA from 1 species
AGAAUCAACGCUGGCGGCGUGCCUCAGACAUGCAAGUCGAACGAGAACCUCCCUUCGGGGAGGGGACAGUGGCGCACGGGUGAGUAACACGUGGGUAAUUUACCUUUGGGUGGGGAACAACAGCCGGAAACGGCUGCUAAUACCGCAUAAUGCAGCGGCUCGACAUCGAGACAGUUGUUAAAGCGGGGGAUCGCAAGACCUCGCGCCUAAAGAGAAGCCCGCGGCAGAUUAGCUAGUUGGUAGGGUAAUGGCCUACCAAGGCGACGAUCU